GUAAAUCCGAGGUACCAUAGUUAAUGUCUUCAAGACUUCAAUCCCUUUAAACGUUCUGAUCUUUUUCCUCUUAUAACGUCACUAUUCUUUUUGCCUUUCUUCACCUCUCUUUGGUCACUUUUCAUGUAUAUAACUCUUCUUCAUUAUAUAUAUUCCAUUGUUGAACUAUCUGGGUUGUUAUUAGUUAAAUUUCUAACAGUUGUGCAAUGAGAUUACCUAUUCUCAUAUUUGUGGCAUCUCUUCUGAUUUUUGCAACUUUUGGAUCUCAUGCAGUGGCUAGAAAAAAUUUCUUCACUACUCAGUUUCAGGAUGCAACGAAAAGAAGCUUGAAAGACUCACAGAAUGCUAUUGGCAUUUGCUUCUCUAGCUCUGAGAAAAAGAGCGGUGCUUUGGAGGACAAACGAGUUGUUCCUACUGGUCCAAAUCCCUUACACAACAAGUAGAAGAGAAGAUGCAAGUGGAUGGAUCGUUACAGAGGGCAAAGUGAUCAGAGAUAAUAUAAAAGGCUGAGCAGCAAGCAGUGUAAUUGUGAAAAGACGAAGGGAGCGAGUCAGAUUGGUUUUCGUGUAAGCAUAACUUGAUAGUGCUAGAUAAUUAUUUGCUUAUAAUUGAGUAAUUUUGAGUGCCUUGUAAAAUCAGAAUUUAAGUUUAAUUACAUAUGAUGAUUUUACUUCGUC